AGCAGCAUGGCUCAGUGGAAAGAGCCUGGGCUUUGGAGUCAGAGGUCAUGGGUUCGACUCCCGGCUCUGCCA
rnacentral:tRNA from 1 species